CCUGCUCCCCCUGCCCCCGGGGCCCCCACUCCCUCCAUGGCCCCUGCACCCUGAUUCCACAGUUGGAGACACAGCUCCAGAGGAGGCCUGCAAUUCUGCCCGGGUUUCGUCCGGAGGACAGCCCGCCCCAUGACGUGUCACUGCCCAGCUGGUUCCAGGUGUGCCCAGAGGGCGCCCGGCCGUGGGCCUCUCUCUCGCCUCCUAAUCUCAGAGUGGUCUGGGCACUGACACCAUGGGGCAGGAUUCAGACACCCGAGUUCCCGGAUAUGGUGCCAGCCGACUUCCUGCAAAAUCACAGGGCCGGUCGCUCCCUGGCAGAAUCGUGCCAUCGGGGCAGGCGCUGGCGUCCGUUGCUGGGAGGCUAAACCAGCCCUGUUGAGGACACCCCCACCGUGACCACCUUUCCACCAGCCGCCUGGCCGGCUGGGCAGCAGGCAAUGCGCUUCGCUCCCAGCGGGAAGAACGGCGGGUGCCGCCGCCCACUGCUGCUUUGAAGUCAGUGUUGCCCACCCCCCAGCUUGGGACCCCUAAGUAUUCGACUCGUACCCCUCGUCCCUCCAGAUCAGACUGGAGCUGGGUGGUCCCUUGAUCCAGUGGUGGGUCUCCUUGUAAGAAGAGGUGAGGGCGCUGGGAGACACACAGAGGAGACAGCCGUGGAGGGGACAGAGGCCCAGACAGGAGGAUGCGGCCACCACCAAGGAUGCAGGCAACCCUGGAUGCCGGGCGGUCCUCCGGAGCCCCCAGGACACCCUGAGCUGGACCCCCGGCCUGCAGCCGCAAGGAUGCCUUCCAUUGCUCUCGUUCCUCUGCCGGGAGUCACGGGCCUCUGGUCCUCCUUGGACAACCAGCUCUUCAGGUUGGGCUGGCUGUCUCAUUGGUUUGGUGCGUGUGCUCUGCCCAGGCGCCCACGGACCUCCACGCGUGCUCCGGCCUGGCCCACGUGUGCUGGCGACCUGCUGUCCUGACCCGUCUGGAUUGAGGGGUUACCAGAAGAACAUUUCCAAGGCACGAAAGGAGACCCAUCCCCGU
ensembl:lncRNA